rnacentral:lncRNA from 1 species
ACCUUCUUCUUCUUUAAUCACACUUUAAGCUGUGUCUGUGUGAAUUAUUUCAGGUCCGACAGUGACAAAUGUUGGCUCAGGUUAAGAUUUUAAUCUCAGUGUUCAUGUAAUACAAGAAGCCAACCACUUUCCAAACAGCACCUGGUAUGGUAGGACAGAAGAUCCUGGAGCUGGAAGAUCCUAAACCCCUUCAGUGUCCUCCUAAAUGGGAGUCCUGAAGAAGCAGAAAAACACCCGAACCCAGAAUCCCAAGUUAUCUCUGCUAACUGCAAGGAAUGAUCCAAACUUGCAGGGUGAAGAACUGCAGAGAAAGAUAUGCAUGGAUAACAGACUUAGAACAACUCCAGAAGAAAAAUGCUGCUCACAGAGUGCUGGCAUACAUUCAGAAAUCAGCCUUCUGUUUUGGAUACAGCCACAUUUCCUGCCCAUACCCACUCUCUCAGCACUGAUGCCAGCCAAAGCUCAUCCUCUGCUGAAGGACCUUCAGCUCAGCCUUCCCCAAAUAUAUUGGAAAGACAAUGUAUUAACAAAACAAAACAAAAAAGAAGCAGAAAAGGAGAGAGACAAGAGCACAGAGGAGGCCCGGAGGGAAAGAAAAAUAUUCAAAUAAUGGAGUAAGGGUGAGGCUGGCAAACUUUGUGGCAGUGAAACAACAGAUGGACUGUAGUUUUAGUGAUUCAUCACACAGAUGGUUCAGCAGAUGGAUUCUGUUGGGUUCAUACAGCUUAGGUGGAAAUAUCAGCUGCUGAUCUUGACAGGCAGGGCAGCUUCAGCAGAGGCAGUAUCCUUGCUUUGCCUUCCCUUGUACAUGUCCUGUUUUCCCAGACUGGCAGUGCAGGGACAAUGCUGAGUGCCACAGCAUUGGCCAGCCUUUGUGCUCCUUACAUGCCACAUAGUUCAAGAUUUUCUCUGUCUGUUCUAGGAAGGAAAAAGUUUGCUGUGAGUGGAUGUACCACCUCAUUUCUGCCACCCAGUCAAGUGACAAAUGCUGUUCCUUGGGAAACAAAAACAUCUACAGAUUGUGAUGAUUUCUAUCUAUAAAAAUUCUGUCAGCCUGGAUAGCAUUUCUGACAGAGUAUAACUUCUCCAAGGGAUGAAACAUCUUCCCAGUUUUACUGUGGGGGGUCUAGAUUCCCAAAUAACCUAUGACCAUUAAUGCAAUAAAGAGGAAUUAAAGCACA